rnacentral:lncRNA from 1 species
CCUGUGGCAAGUUUCUCCAGGAAAAUCAACAGCCAACUAUCUUCCCCUCCAGUUCUCUCUUUAUACCAUUGGCAACAAUCCUCAGGCCUUGGAAAGUGUUCCAGGAAUGGACUUUCUGCAGUAUGAUGACCUGCAAAAGCACCCUUUCCAUUUAUGCUUCAAACUCCAAGUCAGCCGUGUCAAAGUUUGCACUAGGGCUGUGGAGGAUAAUGGGUCAGAUGCAAUUAGCAGCCGAGAGAGCUGCACAUUGCACUCUGAUUUAUUUUUUUGCCCAUCAGAUUCCAAGAAUCCUAGUGCUUAAAAGCAACUAAACAAUCACUCUAUUGUACUGAAAUAAAGCCCAGUUAAUUCAAAAAUCAAUUGCACCACCAGGUGGGGCACACUCUGGCCCCAAACAGAUGGGGUCGAAGCCCCUCCAUCCCCCAACGAAGUCUUGUUAAAUUAAAAACUUGAUCCAGAAGUGGAACAAAUAGGGAGCCAUGAAUGGAAUGGAGUCAGGUCCACUCAGGCGAAUUCUUUCUUCUCUCAGGCUUUUCCCUUCCUUUCAAAGUGAAAAAUUUACCAUUCCACUUUCUCCAGUGUUAACAUCUCUGCAGAAACGCAGCCAUCCACCCUUUGCAGUUCAAUAUGUUACUUUAAUUAGUCUGAAAAUUAAAGGGCAACUCUGGGCCAAUGUGAAUGAUUAUGAAAAUACAUGUGCAUCCCAUGCAAUCCUCUCAUUUAAUUAAUAGUCUUGUAAACUAUAUGGCACACUUGAAGUCAGUUGAGAGGUAUAACAACUCCAUUUUAAUAUCCACUUAAUAUUUAACAGAAUGUGAGGAACACGCUGAAGCAUACAGUCCCUUCUCAAGUUUCACUGUCUGAAAAUUUUCAAAGCUGACCCAAGUCAACCCGAAAAAUGUUUAACACCCUGGGCUUGAACACAAGAAACUCUGUGAUGAACAGACAUUCAAUUACAUUUUUUAAAAGUGAGAAGCAUUUUUGUAAAAUAGCUGCUCUGGAAACUAAUUGGCAGACAGGAAACUAGUGAGUGAAGGCCAAAUCUUGUGGGGAACUUUUACUACAGUAACAGGACUCAAAGAAAAUGUGAAUAAAAGGCAUCUUUGUU